UGACAAUUUGUGGUCCCUUCAGCACUAAAAUUGGAACGAUACAGAGAAGAUUAGCAUGGACCCUGUGCAAGGAUGACAUGCAAAUUUGUGAAAUGUUCCAUAUUUUU